rnacentral:rRNA from 1 species
UUGUGGACGGGGGGAACAAGUAGAUAUAGGAAGGAACACCAGACAUUAAGGCGACCACCUGGAGUAAUUCUGACUUGAGGUGGGAGAGUUGCAGGAGCAAACAGGAUUAGAUAUCGGGGUAGUGGGAUUAGUAAACGAUGUCAACUAGGCCGUUGGAAGCCUUGAGCCAUUAGUGGCGCAGUGUAACGCAUUAAGUAAGGGCCAUGGGGAGUACGGCGUCCUAGGUUAAAACUCAAAUGAAUGGACGGGGCCCCGCCCAAGCGGUGGAGCACGUGGUUUAAUUGGAAGCAACGCGAAGGGCCUUGCCAGGCCUGGGCAUUCAAUGAACUUUUCAGGGCUAGAGUGGUGCCUUCGGGAACAUUGAGACAGUCAAGCAUGGGAUGGUCACAAUGUGUCGUGAGAUGUUGGGUUAAGUGUCGUAACGAGCGCGGUUCUUGUCGUUAGUUACCAGCAAGUCACGGUGGGCACUCUAAGGAGGGGCCCGGUGACAAACCGGAGGAAGGUGGGGAUGAGUCAAGUCAUCAUGGCCGGUCCGGCCUGGGCUACGCACGUCCACAAUGGUCGGUACAGAGGGUUGCCAAGCCGCGAGGUGGAGCUAAUCCCAUAAAACCGAUCGUAGUCCGGAUCGCAGUCUGCAACUUGACCGCGUGAAGUUGGAAUCGCUAGUAAUCGCGAAUCAGAAGCCGCGUCCCUC